GGACUAUGGCUCAGUGACGGAGCAUCUGCUUUCCAUGCAGAAGGUCCCAGAUUCAAUCCCAGGCAUCUCCA
rnacentral:tRNA from 1 species